UAGCGGGGCGGAGUUGGGUUGCUCUGGGCUGAGAAAUUCCGUGCGCAAAUUAUACCCAAUGCAAACUGCAAUCCACGCCACGCGUUGCCCAAGCUGACGACUCCCGUAUCGGGGAGGGAAGGGCCGCCUCGUCUUUGCAGGAUCAAAGGAUUCCACAGCAGCAGGGAGGCCGCCUUUCGUACCGCACGCAGAGGAGAUCGACCCAGAAAUGGAGGAUUUGAUUGUAUGCACCGAAUGAAGAGGUGAACAUAAGAUCAAGCAACACUUUUUUUUUUCCAGGGAAAAGCUAACAUCCUGUGUCAGCCUGACUAGGGCUUGAAGUAUGGUAAACAGAGUAUCUGUCAUAACCGCAUCCCCACAUUGCUAUCCAGCAACCUCCGUCAUCAGGAACAAGCACUUCACAACAACUUGACAAGAAGCAGAUGGCAGCUGCAGGGGCUGCAGCUCCAUUCCGGCUGUUUGGCAGCCUCUCUUUUCUCUCUCUGCUCUAGGCUUGGUCCUCGGAAGCUCUUGGAUCGCAGCAGCAUCCUCAGCAGCUUCCUCCAUCAACACAGCGAGAGCGAAAUGGUGUUACUGCCCCAAUAUACAGCAGGCGGAUGUAACCAUAUGAAGCCAUUGGAUAAAGUCAUCCAAAACUUUGGGGUGUGGCAUCAUCAAAAGGUUUAUGACGCCCAAGUUUAUCUCAUCACCCCAUACCAUAAGGGAGUUGCUGUCAACAUCCUGUCCCUGUGCUUGGAGGAUUGAAAGGUCUGGAUGGAAGAGAACGGAUGAGCACAGAAACCUAAUAAGGUGAAGGACAUAACUUGGAGAACAUUUGCCCAGCUUUAGCUGGUGCACCUUUUUCAACGCUACUUGGUGCAAGAGGACCUAGCUACAGUAAUUCAUUCAAGUGCCAUCACCACUUGGUUGGAUUAUUGAUUUACAUGGGACUACAUUUGAAGAAUACUUGGAAACUACCAUUCAUCCAGAUUGUAUUGGAUCAGGUCUUGGCUUAUGGAUGAUCCAAGAUACCUGAUCCCAAAAUCUUGAUGGCAAUGCACUCAGGUAUCUUCUGUGGGCCAUGUGAAGUUGUUGGAAGCAUGUCCUUCCCCUCCAGUCAACUGAUGCUUCCCAUCACAACCAUUUGGACUUGGACUGCAAGGAGACCCAGACAUCUGACUGACUUGUAUGCCUGACUUGUGCUUCACAAAGCAUGGUUCAGACUUUUGGUGGGCUACUGUAUUUAUGCACAUCCUUUGGAUUUACUACACAUAUGUUUAGUAGUUUACUAAAAAGGCUUUUUGUGUGUGUGGGGGGAAACAGCUGUCAAAUAAUUUAAAUAGAGAAAAACAUCUGUUGCUGGUUCUUUCCAAAAUUAGUGCAUUAUAGGUUUUCUAUGCUUCUGGAAUGGCAUCAUUUUGUUCACUCAUUGAGAAUUUUCCAGUACAAUGGAAAGACUGGGAAAUAUCCACAAUGGAGGAAGAUGACAAAAUUAGCAGAAAUGGUAAAAUUAGCUCAUUUGAUUGGAGAAAUAUCAACAGCCACAUUUGUCAGUGACUGGAUACAGCUUAAGGACUUUUGCUAAAGAAAAAAAGAGAGAGAGAAAUGAACUUGUGAUUUAUGGUUUCGAAGAUUAGAAAGGGCAGUUUAUAGAAAGAAGGAAAUUAUGAUGUAACUUUGGAGAAAGAAGGCAGAAUAUAUUUAUAACCAUUGCUAAAAAGAUUGAAAGCCUUUUCUUUUCUCUUUCUUUUUUCUUUCCUUUCUUAUUUAUUAACUAUUCCUCCUUAUUUUAUUUGUUUCUUUUUAAUAUUUUUGUUCUUUUUAAUUUGUAUUUGAUAAAAAAAUAUAUUUUAAAAAGAUUUUUUCCAGGUGUACCCAGCUGUGAUUCUGUUCUAUUAGCACUGGGGCUGCCUGGCAGACCUAUCUGGUGCAUUUGGAAGAGGGUGAAAUUGACAGCAGUCCUUCCAAUUUCCCCUUCUAGCCCUAUAUGCACAGCGGCCCUUCUGACAAGUCCGCAAGUUGGAGGAUGGGUCAGGGUGAAGCCAAUGCAGUUCUUUCAUUGCACCUCCCAGACUCUUUCAUGCUUCAUUCCCUGCCUAUUUUCUGCUUGUCUGCCCAACAAGCUAUCAGUUAGCCUUUUUAUAGAUAUAAAUCUAUUAGUCUACCAAAAGAUGUGCAUGUUCAGAAUUAAUCUGACUUUCAGGUUAUCAGUGUCACAGUGGUGGGUUUCAAUUUUUUUUAGAACCUAUUCUGUAGGUGUGGCCUGUUUUGUGGGAGUGGCUUGGC